rnacentral:snRNA from 1 species
GUGCUCACUUGGGCAGCACGUACACUAAAAUCGGAACGACACAGAGAAGAUUAGCCUGGCCCCUGCGCAAGGAAG